rnacentral:snoRNA from 1 species
ACUCCAUGGUGUGGACAUUUUUGUUGCAAAUCUUGAAUCUUUCCCAAGCAUCAUAAACUGUUUCAUUGUCACGUUCCUUGAAGCCAGUGAUGUCAAUUCUCAGUUU